rnacentral:rRNA from 1 species
AGUGAACGCUGGCGGCAUGCCUAACACAUGCAAGUCGAACGGCAGCACAGUGGAGCUUGCUCCAUGGGUGGCGAGUGGCGGACGGGUGAGGAAUGCAUCGGAAUCUACCCUCUUGUGGGGGAUAACCAAGCGAAAGUUUGGCUAAUACCGCAUAAGACGGCGACGUGAAAGCGGGGGACCUUCGGGCCUCGCGCGAGAGGAUGAGCCGAUGCCCGAUUAGCUAGUUGGCGGGGUAAGAGCCCACCAAGGCGACGAUCGGUAGCUGGUCUGAGAGGACGAUCAGCCACACUGGGACUGAGACACGGCCCAGACUCCUACGGGAGGCAGCAGUGGGGAAUAUUGGACAUUGGGGGCAACCCUGAUCCAGCGAUGCCGCGUGAGUGAAGAAGGCCUUCGGGUCGUAAAGCUCUUUAGGUUGGGAAGAAGUGUAUUGGCUGAAUAAUCCAGUACAUUGACGGUACCGACAGAAUAAGCACCGGCAAACUCUGUGCCAGCCGCCGCCGUAAAAC